rnacentral:rRNA from 1 species
CGGGUGAGUAAUGUAUGGGGAUCUGCCUGAUGGCGGGGGAUAACUACUGGAAACGGUAGCUAAUACCGCAUAAUGUCUGCGGACCAAAGCGGGGGACCUCCGGGCCUCGCGACCAUCAGAUGAACCCAUAUGGGAUUAGCUAGUAGGUAAGGUAACGGCUUACCUAGGCGACGAUCCCUAGCUGGUCUGAGAGGAUGAUCAGCCACACUGGGACUGAGACACGGCCCAG